rnacentral:misc_RNA from 1 species
GUGAAUCAUCAAAUUUUUGAACGCAAAUUGCACUCUCUGGUAUUCCGGAGAGUAUGCCUGUUUGAGGGUCAGUUUAAAUAAAAAUCGUGGUGUUUGCUGCCUUUGUUGUUAACGCACCGGAUUGGGUUCGUCUUGCCUUCGGUUAAGGGACCUAAAAUUUUGCAUGAUUUUUUUCGAACGUAUCUAAAUGAUUGUACGUACGUGUGCGAGAUCGAAUAUUAGGUUUGGUCAUCCUCAUGAUUCGCGCCUAUAAUUUUUCAUCAAAAUGACCUCAAAUCAGGUAAGAGUACCCGCUGAACUU